rnacentral:lncRNA from 1 species
GCCGUAUGAGCCAUCAGGCGUUGCCAAAUUUUCUUCGGUGCCUAAAUCACGAAUUUUUGGGAAGAUCUUUAGAUAAUUUACUUCCAAUUUUUCGGACAAUUUUGUACGGAAUUUAAUCUAAAAUAUCUGAAAAUUUCAAGGGAGAAUAUGCUUACAAGGAAACUAACUAAACAAAGAAUUGGAGUGCAUUUUGCAAUUUGGAACUAUAAACUCUGGUCCGGUUUAAAAGAACGUAUGUGCUAUUGGUUUUCUUACGCAAAUAAGUGUUUUUUCAGAUGAGCCAGAAUUUAUAGUUCCAAAUUGCAAAAUGCAGUCCAAUGAGGUCUCUGGUAAUUUGCAGCAUGCGUCACUGGUAAACUUUGGGCGAGGAGAAAUUCGAAGUCCACAAAAAAGGUGCAGUAUUUUAAAUGUGACCUUAAAAAAUCAUAUUUUAUAUUGAGUCUUAUGAAGGAUCAGGUAUAUUUUUUCCCUCGUUGCCAAAAUUUCAAGGGAGAAUAUGCUUACAAGGAAACUAACUAAACAAAGAAUUGGACUGCAUUUUGCAAUUUGGAACUAUAAAUUCUGGUCCGGUUUAAAGGAACGUAUGUGCUAUUGGUUUUCUUACGCUAAUAAGUGUUUUUUCAGAUGAGCCAGAAUUUAUAGUUCCAAAUUGCAAAAUGCAGUCCAAUGAGGUCUCUGGUAAUUUGCAGGAUGCGUCACUGGUAAACUUUGGGCGAAGAGAAAUUCGAAGUCCACAAAAAAGAUUCUUGCAGCUACAAUUCGUCAGCUUCUUUCAAGGGGCGAGCUUCUUGUAUUCAAAAUACGGGGUAUUUUUAUGAUUUGUGAAAAAGUGUGGAACUUUUGUCCAUGGAAAUGUAAAAUCCGGAAUGAGGCUAAUCUAUAAAAACAGCAAGAUUUUGUAAACGAUGUUUGAUUAUUUUUAGUUUGUAAGAUUUCUCUCCAAUUUUAUUUCCCCUAGUUUUGUAGUAAUAUACAUGCGAGGGUUAGUGGCGCAAAAGCCCAGUUAAAAUGGCUCAUUAUAACUUAUGAUAAUCAUUAAAUUUUAAAUGUCUUCAAAAUUAUAUUGCUCGAACUCUCAACAUGCAGUCUCUUGAAUGUAGGCAAGAGUUUCACCGUUAUCUCCCUCAAGAAUAGCGAGCUCCUGUCGAAAAGAAGCAACAAACAUACGUAACAGGUGUGGUAUCAAGGGGUUUUG